GCAGCCGCCGCGGGAAUACGUAGGGUGCAAGCGUUAAUCGGAAUUACUGGGCGUAAGGCGUGCGCAGGCGGUUUGUUAAGACAGAUGUGAAAUCCCCGGGCUCAACCUGGGAACUGCAUUUGUGACUGGCAAGCUAGAGUGUGGCAGAGGGGGGUGGAAUUCCGCGUGUAGCAGUGAAAUGCGUAGAUAUGCGGAGGAACACCGAUGGCGAAGGCAGCCCCCUGGGCCAACACUGACGCUCAUGCACGAAAGCGUGGGGAGCAAACAGGAUUAGAUACCCCUGUAGUCCCUGUCUCUUAUAA
rnacentral:rRNA from 1 species